CUAUUGUCUCUCAAAUCCUCUCGAAGGUUCUUCAGAACCCUAACCAUCUCCGACCCUUUUUCCACUAUACUUUCACCAGAAUCUAUGACUUCUCAAGCCAUAGAUGGUCUAUACUCACCCUCUUCCACCAUUAGACCAUGUUUGUUCGAAGCUGUGAGACUUGACCUCAAUGGUUCUCCUCCAGACCUUCUUAAAUCUAUGGUUCUAUAGCCUCUCUGGCCUGUGCUCCAAUAUAUUCAAGCAUUAGAGGGCUUGAUUCUACCUCUCCGACUCAAGAUCGAGCUUUCUUCCAAGCCUUUCUCAUUUCUAGGGUUUCUCUGAAAGCCUAAGCUACUUGAUAUUUUUUUUUGUCUGUUGUUUUCUUAGAUCUAUGAUGUAUUUGUGAUUUAUUCGAAUUUUAAAGUGUUUUCCCCAAAUUUUCUUUUCAAAAUCGUGUGUUUUCGAUUCAGGGUUUCUGAAAGGGUUUUCAAAAUAUCUUUCUGAUUCUUUUUGUUCUUCUCUUUAUGUAUGUUUGUCUGUGUUAUGCUCGUAUCUUUUCUUUUCUAUCACACAUGUGUUUGCUCUUUUGUUUUUCUUUAUAUUAUACAUGAUUCUUCUAUACAUCUGUAUUUUACUGUGCCUCUAGACCAGGCUCGUAUGAUUAUCUCUGCAAUAUUUUCCUACAUAAUUUCUAUUGUAUGUGUUUCCUGCUGAGUUCUUUAAUUUUUGUUUGCUUUACUGGACUUUGUCCGAAUUUUGUUAAGCAUGUUUCAUCUACUAUUGCUUAAUUUUACACCACCUCUUUUCUUCUGAACUUGCUUAAGUUCCGACUUUUCUAAAACAUGC
rnacentral:lncRNA from 1 species